rnacentral:lncRNA from 1 species
CAUCAUUAGUACAUUCUAAUUCUUCAAAAUUUUAUCUGCAUCUACCAUCUCAUUUACUUUUCUCAAUAAUCCUAUAAUAGUUAACAUUAUUCAUCAUGAAUUUGCAGAACACAGAUUCAAGGCAAAUAAGCACAGUCUUGCAUUUCUGUGAACUUGAAAUAUUUUUGUAUUUUUAGGUUUGAACAUCUACACUUUCUACCUGGAAAACCCUUGAUACACUACCCUUUUUUAUCUAGAAAAUUUCUACUCAUUCUUCAAGACUAAGAUCAAGUUCAACUCCUCUACAGAGUCUUCCCUGAACAGCCUAGGCUGGGCCCUGUGCCACUCCUGUAGGCUCUGUGGCUUCCUGUGCCUCCCUCUGUCAUAACCCUCUUGCCCUGAGCUUGCUGUUUAUGGU